UACGAAGGGGGCUAGCGUUGCUCGGAAUCACUGGGCGUAAAGCGCACGUAGGCGGCUUACUAAGUCAGGGGUGAAAUCCUGGAGCUCAACUCCAGAACUGCCUUUGAUACUGGUGAGCUUGAGUCCGGGAGAGGUGAGUGGAACUGCGAGUGUAGAGGUGAAAUUCGUAGAUAUUAGGAAGAACACCAGUGGCGAAGGCGGCUCACUGGCCCGGUACUGACGCUGAGGCGCGAAAGCGUGGGGAGCAAACAGG
rnacentral:rRNA from 1 species